GGCCACAUGGCGAAGUAGCAACGCGGCGGUCUGCAAAACCGCUAUUGGGUGGGUGCAACUCCCACUGUGGCCUCCA
rnacentral:tRNA from 1 species